rnacentral:rRNA from 1 species
GGAGGGUGCAAGCGUUGUUCGGAAUUACUGGGCGUAAAGGGCGUGUAGGCGGGACCAAGUAGUCGGGGUGUGAAAGCCCUGGGCUCAACCCAGGAAGUGCGCCCGAAACCCAUUGGUCUAGAGAUUCGGAGGGGAGCGGGGAAUUCCCAGUGUAGAGGUGAAAUUCGUAGAUAUUGGGAGGAACACCGGUGCCGAAGGGGCCGCUCUGGACGAAUACUGACGCUGAGACGCGAAAGCGUGGGUAGCAAACAGGGUUAGAUACCCUGGUAGUCCACGCUGUAAACGAUGUGCACUAGGUGUCGGGGGUAUUGACCCCUCCGGUGCCGCCGCUAACGCAUUAAGUGCACCGCCUGGGAAGUACGGUCGCAAGGCUG